ACAGCAGCCGCCACGGUAAUACGGAGGGUGCAAGCGUUAAUCGGAAUUACUGGGCGUAAAGCGCACGCAGGCGGUCUGUCAAGUUAGAUGUGAAAUCCCCGGGCUUAACCUGGGAACUGCAUUUGAAACUGGCAGGCUAGAGUCUUGUAGAGGGGGGUAGAAUUCCAGGUGUAGCGGUGAAAUGCGUAGAGAUCUGGAGGAAUACCGGUGGCGAAGGCGGCCCCCUGGACAAAGACUGACGCUCAGGUGCGAAAGCGUGGGGAGCAAACAGGAUUAGAUACCCGGGUAGUCCCUGUCUCUUAUAA
rnacentral:rRNA from 1 species